AGUGAGCGCUGGCGGUAGGCCUAACACAUGCAAGUCGAACGGCAGCACAGAGGAGCUUGCUCCUUGGGUGGCGAGUGGCGGACGGGUGAGGAAUACAUCGGAAUCUACUCUGUCGUGGGGGAUAACGUAGGGAAACUUACGCUAAUACCGCAUACGACCUACGGGUGAAAGCAGGGGAUCUUCGGACCUUGCGCGAUUGAAUGAGCCGACGUCGGAUUAGCUAGUUGGCGGGGUAAAGGCCCACCAAGGCGACGAUCCGUAGCUGGUCUGAGAGGAUGAUCAGCCACACUGGAACUGGGACACGGUCCAGACUCCUACGGGAGGCAGCAGUGGGGAAUAUUGGACAAUGGGCGCAAGCCUGAUCCAGCCAUACCGCGUGGGUGAAGAAGGCCUUCGGGUUGUAAAGCCCUUUUGUUGGGAAAGAAAUCCAUCUGGUUAAUACCCGGGUGGGAUGACGGUACCCAAAGAAUAAGCACCGGCUAACUUCGUGCCAGCCGCCGCGGUAA
rnacentral:rRNA from 1 species